rnacentral:rRNA from 1 species
UACGUAGGUGACAAGCGUUGUCCGGAUUUACUGGGCGUAAAGAGCGCGCAGGCGGUCGAUCAAGUCGAGUGUGAAAGCCCCCGGCUCAACUGGGGAGGGUCAUUCGAUACUGAUCGACUCGAAGGCAGGAGAGGGUAGUGGAAUUCCCGGUGUAGCGGUGAAAUGCGUAGAUAUCGGGAGGAACAUCAGUGGCGAAGGCGGCUACCUGGCCCAAUACUGACACUCAGGUGCGACAGCGUGGGGAGCAAACAGG